rnacentral:rRNA from 1 species
AGGAGGAAGGUGCAGGCAACGGUAGGUGGUAUGCCCUGAAUGCCCUGGGCUACACGCGCGUUACAAUGGUAGGGACAAUAGGAUACAACUCCGAAAGGAGAAGUUAACCCCCUAAACCCUAUCGUAGUACGGAUUGUGGGCUGCAACUCGCCCACAUGAAGCUGGAAUUCCUAGUAAUCGGGUGUCAACAGCGCCCGGUGAAUAUGUCAACGUGCCUUGCACACACCGCCCGUCAUUCCAGCCGAGCAGGGUUUAAGUGAGGGUUAUGCUCAGCAUAAUUCGAACUUAAGCUCAGCAAGGAGGGACAAGUCGUCACAAGGUAGCCGUAGGGGAACCUGCGGCUGGAUCACCUCCUAU